UACGUAGGCAGCGAGCGUUGUUCGGAGUUACUGGGCGUAAAGGGUGUGUAGGCGGUUGUUUAAGUUUGGUGUGAAAUCUCCCAGCUCAACUGGGAGGGUGCGCCGAAUACUGAAUGACUUGGAGUGCGGGAGAGGAGAGUGGAAUUCCUGGUGUAGCAGUGAAAUGCGUAGAGAUCAUGAGGAAGACCAGUGGCGAAGGCGGGUCUCUGGACAGUUCCUGACACUGAGGCACGAAGGCCAGGGGAGCAAACGGG
rnacentral:rRNA from 1 species